rnacentral:rRNA from 1 species
GAUACCGAAUGCCAGCAUUUAUGUUGGCUGUCCACAUGUCUAAAUCGCAUGUGUUAGCAAGGGCCGGGCAAGACCGGUGCCAGCCGCCGCGGUAACACCGGCGGCCCGAGUGGUGGCCACUAUUAUUGGGUCUAAAGGGUCCGUAGCCGGUUUGAUCAGUCUUCCGGGAAAUCUGACAGCUUAACUGUUAGGCUUCCGGGGGAUACUGUCAGGCUUGGGACCGGGAGAGGUAAGAGGUACUACCGGGGUAGGAGUGAAAUCUUGUAAUCCUUGUGGGACCACCAGUGGCGAAGGCGUCUUACCAGAACGGGUCCGACGGUGAGGGACGAAAGCUGGGGGCACGAACCGGAUUAGAUACCCGGGUAGUCCCAGCUGUAAACGAUGCUCGCUAGGUGUCUGGGACGGUGCGACCGUUUCAGGUGCCGCAGGGAAGCCGUGAAGCGAGCCACCUGGGAAGUACGGCCGCAAGGCUGAAACUCAAAGG